AACGAACGCUGGCGGCGCGUCUUAACCAUGCAAGUCGAGCGGCAGGCAGCAAUGCCGAGAGCGGCGGACUGGUGAGUAACACGUGGAUAACGUACCCCGAUGUCCGGGACAGCCUGUAGAAAUAGAGGGUAAUACCGGAUAGAUCACUGUUUACGUGAGGUAGACAGCGGGAAAGGAGCUUCGGCUCCGCGACGGGAUCGGUCUGCGGCCCAUCAGCUGGACGGCGGGGUAAAGGCCCGCCGGGGCGAGGACGGGUAUCCGGCCUGAGAGGGCGGACGGACACAUUGGGACUGAGAUACGGCCCAGACUCCUACGGGAGGCAGCAGGUAAGAAUAUUCCGCAAAGGGGGGAACCCUGACGGAGCGACGCCGCGUGAACGAAGAAGGCCGGAAGGUUGUAAAGUUCUUUUCUGUCCGAGGAAUAAGUUUCGGAGGAAAUGCCGGGACGGUGACGGUAGGGCAGGAAUAAGCACCGGCUAAUUACGUG
rnacentral:rRNA from 1 species